rnacentral:rRNA from 1 species
GAUGAACGCUGGCGGCGUGCCUAAUACAUGCAAGUCGAGCGAACAGACGAGGAGCUUGCUCCUCUGACGUUAGCGGCGGACGGGUGAGUAACACGUGGAUAACCUACCUAUAAGACUGGGAUAACUUCGGGAAACCGGAGCUAAUACCGGAUAAUAUAUUGAACCGCAUGGUUCAAUAGUGAAAGACGGUUUUGCUGUCACUUAUAGAUGGAUCCGCGCCGCAUUAGCUAGUUGGUAAGGUAACGGCUUACCAAGGCAACGAUGCGUAGCCGACCUGAGAGGGGGAUCGGCCACACUGGAACUGGGACACGGUCCAGACUCCUACGGGAGGCAGCAGUAGGGAAUCUGCCGCAAUGGGCGAAAGCCUGACGGAGCAACGCCGCGUGAGUGAUGAAGGUCUUCGGAUCGUAAAACUCUGUUAUUAGGGAAGAACAAAUGUGUAAGUAACUAUGCACGUCUUGACGGUACCUAAUCAGAAAGCCACGGCUAACUACGUG